UGAGACAAGGCCACUCCGUGGUCACGAUGGAUCAAGAUAGAAACAAGUCCACGUCAUAAUCACGUCUGAACACAAACACAACUGGGACAUUGCUCAACUCGCAAUACAUCAAGCUUGCCCCUCUCCUGGCUAAGAGGAGCGACUGACGCUUCUUUACCAAUUAUAGCUUUGGCCUCACUCCAGUCUGCCCUCCCUCCAGAUAAGAUUUAUUGAGAUACUGUGUUAGUCUCCUUGGGCCACCAUAACAAAUUGCCACCAACGGGGUGGCUUAAAACAACAAGACCCUCUCUCACAGUUCUGGGGUCUGAAAGUCUGAAAUCAAGGUGUCGGCAGGAUUGUUUCCUUCCAGAGGCCAUGCGGGAGAAUCCAUUCCAUGCCCACCUCCUAGCUCCUGGUAGCUACUGGUGGGCUUCAUCCAGAGACAACCUAUGAUGGAUUCUAUGCAAAUUCUCACAGAUCUCAGAGGCUGAACCCCAUGGUUUGGAACCACAUUACAUAUUGUCUCAUGUUUUUGUUUCCUGUGUGAUGGUCUCGCCUCUUCUGUCAGACGAUGACAAGACUCAGCCCAGGUCCUGACCCACUUGCACAAGAUUACGGGGCAGGUAGUGAAGCCAGGGUGUGGCCCCGGGCGGUCUGCCCAGAGCCUGUGCUCCAAUCUCCCUCUGCUAAGCUUCUCGCGUGCUUUCCCCGAGAUGGCCCAGUCCUCAGCAUCCACCUCAGUGGAUGCCACAUACGGGCUUCCAGGGGCUCUCCUGAAGCAGUUGGUUUCAGGGAGCGAGAGCUCCUUGGGAGGCCA